GCUGCGGUAGCUCAGUGGUAGAGCGGAGGAUUGCAGUCCGUGAUAACAUCCUCAGGUCCUGUGUUCGAACCACAGUCGCAGCU
rnacentral:tRNA from 1 species